rnacentral:rRNA from 1 species
AGCGAACGCUGGCGGCGUGCCUAACACAUGCAAGUCGAACGUGAAAAGGGAAACCUGAGUAAAGUGGCGUACGGGUGAGUAACGCGUAGGUAAUCUACCCCAGAAUCUGGAAUAACCUGCCGAAAGGCGGGCUAAUACUGGAUAGAGCGAGGGAACUCGUAAGAGAGUUUUUCGGGAAAGGGAGCCCGCAAGGGCCUUCGUUCUGGGAUGAGCCUGCGUCUCAUUAGCUAGUUGGUAAGGUAACGGCUUACCAAGGCGAUGAUGAGUAGCUGGUCUGAGAGGAUGAUCAGCCACACUGGAACUGAAACACGGUCCAGACUCCUACGGGAGGCAGCAGUGGGGAAUCUUGCGCAAUGGACGAAAGUCUGACGCAGCCACGCCGCGUGAGUGAUGAAGGCCUUCGGGUUGUAAAGCUCUGUCGGAUGGGACGAACAUCUUCAUAGUGAAUAGCUAUGAGGACUGACGGUACCAUCAAAGGAAGCACCGGCUAACUCCGUG